CAGUCGGCCAUGGAUGUAUAUGGAUGAAAGACCCAAAAGUACUUUUUUCAGAUGAUUUAUAAUUACAGUCGGCCAUGGAUGUAUAUGGAUGAAAGACCCAAAAGUACCUUUUCAGUGAUUUAUAAUUACAGUUGACCAUGGAUGUAUGGAUGAGGUUUUGUUGCGAUGUCCAAGGUGCACUUAAUGGAAGCCGGUAAAAGACCUUGCAGCGCACCCAAGCCAGCAGAGCAUUUUUUGGUAUUUGAAUCAGGAACUAUGACACUGGACAAUGAGGAGGAGAGGAGCAGGGUCCUGGUAAUUGGUGGCACAGGUCACAUCGGAUAGGCAAGCAUAUUGUUGUACCUCUGUCCUCAUGAGCUAGGGAUGCUGCGCCUUUUGAUCCAGCCAAGGCGCAGCUCCUCAAAAGCUUGAUCGACUCCGGUGUCGUUGCUCUCAUCAUCAAGAGAUAUUUAUUUGACCACGGGAGCCUCGUAGAUGCAAUCAAAGUUGUCAUCUCUGCCGUGGGGCGCUGUCAGCUCGACGAGCAGAUGAGGAUUGUCAUGGCAAUCAAGGAGGCCGGCAAUCUCAUCAAGGUCAGUCAGGUUAUCAACUUGUCUUGUUUCUUGGUGGAACCAUGUGGCUACAGAUCGAUCACUGGAUAGUUGAUGUUGAGAGGUUCCUGCCUGCCAUCCAAGUUUGGCUCUGACGUAGAGAGGGUUCACACCGUGGAUCCAGCGGCCACACUGUACAGUGUACACUGGUAAAACCAGGCUUCACUGUCUGAUCGAGGCAGAGGGUAUGUAUGCCUCAUACAUACAUUUGUCUGCUGCAACGGGUUCGCCGAAACCUACCUUCCGAGCAUCUGCGAUGUUGCAGCCGUUGGCGCCGGUCCUCCAUCUGACAAGAUCACGGUCCUAGGCGAUGGAGAUGCAAAAGCGGUGUUUGUGGUGGAAGAAGACAUAGCUGCCUACAAAGUGAGAGCGAUCGAUGACCCGAGGACCCUCAACUGAACAAUAUCCUCUACAUGAGGCCGCCAGUGAACAUGGUGUCCCACAAUGAGUUCAUCGCCAUGUGGGAGAGGAAAACAGGCAGGACUUCCUCGGAUCGAGCGUAUUUCGGAGGCGGAUCUCCUGAAGCUGAUCAAGGGUAGGAAGGGUACAUGCAUCAUUGUGCACCUCCCAGGCACGCAUAUGGUGGUCUGUACUGUACAUAGUUGCAGCUGUGGAUCUGUAAUCAUGCAGAGGCAGGCAGCGUUCCCUCUCCCUCUCAACAUACAUACUGCUGCCCCUCUCGCUCUCUGUCUUGGUCAGGUGUCACCAGGCCAACUUCAAUACCAAGCCGUCCUUUGGCGUCGAGGCCACCGAGGUGUUGCUCGACGUCGAUGACCGCCUCCUUUGACAGGUCUUGGCUGGCUGGAAUGGCACCCCUGACAAGAGUUGACGUCCACAAUAAAGAUGACUACCAACACGCAAGGCACAACACCAUCAUCCAAAGAUAUGCCAUGCCCUACCCCUGAUUGGGCAAUGACUUUCACGAAAAUGGCACCCACCACCGGUAGGGGUGGAGUGGCUAGGGUUUUCUUCUCUACUCCCUUCACAAGGAAGCACUCGUAAUCAUUGGAUGCAACGAAGAUCAACGGCUGACAUGUGGUGGACUAUGUGGGCUGAUGUUGGGCUGCCAACACACCUCCAUGUGGAGGGCCUUAGCCUAACAUACAAUACAGAUUUUGUAUCUUGUACACGAGAAUAGCAUCAAAUUUGACUGGCUUUGGUGCGGCAUGCUCAGUUUGCC